rnacentral:RNase_P_RNA from 1 species
UGAGCUGGCCAGACAGUCGCCGUGCGUUCGCGCAUGGAGGAAAGUCCGGGCUCCAGAGAGCAGGAUGCCGGUUAACAGCCGGGCGUCGAAAGACGACGGAAAGUGCAGCAGAGAAUAGACCGCCGAUGGCCCUAUGGUACAGGCAAGGGUGAAAUGGAGGUGUAAGAGACCACCGCAGGCGCGGCAACGCGGCUGGCUAGGUAAACCCCAUCCGGAGCAAGGUCAAAUAGGGGAACAAUCGCGUUGCUCGCGCGGUUCCCGGGUAGGCUGCUUGAGCGGCGCGGUAACUCGCCGCCUAGAGGAAUGACUGUCUGGGGUCUGUCAAAGGGCCCAACACAGAACCCGGCUUAUCGGCCAGCUUCUUUU